GGGGUUGGGGCUCAGUGGUAGACUGCUCGCCUAGCAUGUGUGAGGCACUGGGUUCAAUCCUCAGCACCACA
rnacentral:tRNA from 1 species